AAAGUAGUUCUCAGUUAUGAUAGUAAACACAAGAGAGAGGGAAGUGUGUGUGUGUGUGUGUGUGUGUGUGUGUGUGUACACACAUGCACAAAACUCCUUCCCUCCCUCCUUCUUGUGUUUACUUAUCAUAACUGAGAACUAC